UCGAUAGGAUUUCUCAUGAUAUCGUAGGCGGCCUAAUAACUUUAUUCGACAUUUUUCUUCUUCGUUCACUUGGCCCUACUAUACACAUGUAUACCCACCGCCAGGCGGCGCUCCCUUCAGUUUAGCGGGAGAUUUGUAUUACAAGUGGCGGCCAUUUUGUUUGUUUACGGAAACGUGAUGAAAGCUUAGACCUAGAACAAAAUCACGUUAUAUAUACAGUACGGUAUAUAUUUGCGACAUUUAAUUUCCCCACUCACGGAAUACAAUCGACAAACUGGGAACAGAAUAUCAAAUUUCGUCUAGCUUUUGGCGACUUAUGAUACCCCUUUCACCGGCAAACACUGAAUUAUCGGACAACAUGAAAUCAGGGACUAAAUUCACCAGCAUUCAUGAUCCUCGGACCACCCGCCCCCUACGCACAGCCGAUUUAUAAAUGUUGCAUCUUUCAAUCAGUGUCAAUCCCAAGAAGAACCCUGAUCAGCUCCUGGAAAAAUCAGUGUUCUUGCAGUAUUGUCAGUCAAAUCUCAAGGAAAGGAUCCCAGAAGAGGAACAUUUACAUUAUUUCAGACUUUUUUCUUUCCUGUGUAACAAUGCCUCAAACAGCUAACACAUUUUAUAUAGUAUACAAUACAAUGUGUAUUAAUAACAGUCCAGUUAGAGUGCUGUGUUAUGCAGUAAAAAUACUUAAUUCUUGAUGACAUGUUGGUUUUAUGUUUACAUUAACGGUAGUUAUAAUAUAUACUAAAGAAACAUAGUGGAUAAUGCCUUGUACAGGAGCAGGAGUAUGACAGUGUAAUAGUACAUGACUGCUGCGUUCAUCCAUGGAAGGAGUCUGUUAUUCGAAAUAAAGCUUUCCAUGAGGACGAAAAA